rnacentral:rRNA from 1 species
UGUCGAUCUCUAUCACCAACCUUCUCAUCACCUCCCGCUCGUUUUUCUUCCCAGUCCAAUCAUACAACCCAUACGCGGACACCGAAUGGGGAGGGACUACAAACUGCCGCACCGACCAGGCCCCACACCCCCCCAGCCACCCCCAAUCUGUACAUAUCCCCUCUUUCUCUCAUUCACUUUUCGGCGAUUCUCUCUAUUGACUUUCGCUCUUUCGUACACGAGGUGACAACGUGCGUUCGCCUCCCGCUACGCGUUUUNCUGCCAGCGGUAUCAUACGCGAUCACUUCGUUGCGCGUCUCUCGAUCUUCGCUGUAUAUGCCAUCCCCUCUGGGUGUUUGCAUCCUGCGACAACGACGAGAAUUCUGCCCCUGCUCUAUUCAGAUACGUCUGCCUAAUAUCAUCAGUCCUCGUAGAUUUGUAAUGAUAAUGAUAUUGAUAAGUCAGUAAUCUGUCUCUACUUACAGCUGAUUCAUACCACUGUGCAGCUCUCCACCUANAUGCUCGUCAGUCCUCCCAUUAUCUCUUGCAGAGAUAUCCAUAAUAAUCUCUAAGACGNAAA